CUUGUAUUCCUGCCUGACUUGAGUGCAUUGUUACACAUGGAAGGAGGACUACUUCAUGAGAGACAAGGGUGAAGGAGGAGAAAGUGGAAGAAGGCAUCUGAAUGAGCUUCACUCUUGGACUUCAUUAUGCCCUUUGGACUCAUCUUCCUGCUACUGUAUCCUGGCAGUUGGUGGAAGCAGUCAUCAAGCAAUCCAGAAGAAGAAAGAGGAAGCAAAGCAGAGAACAGAGAACCGGAAAAAAAGGUACAGCUUGGAUAAAUCACUCAGCAUCCUCAAUUGUAAAACAAGGGUAUUAACUAAUAUAGCCAUCCAUCUCAAGAUCUAUGAUAUGAUUACGAUCAUUCCAAUUUAUAAAUGAGGGAACUAAGUCUAGGAGAGGGUAAAUAAUUUACACAGGGUUUCAUAUUAAACAUCGGAGGUAGGAUUUAAACUCAAGUUUUCAUGACUUCACAUCCAGUCUUUUAUAUGCUACUCCUACCUCUAAUAAUUGCUAAUGCCUAGGCUACACUUUACCAAGUGGCAUACAUCCUAAGAGAACUGUGUGCCAAUUAGUAAGUUAUCACCUCCUGGGGGAAUCUCUCUCCUUCAAGGAAUAAUCAUUGCUGCCACAAAGACUAUAGUGAACCAAGGGAUUAAACCCUUUG
rnacentral:lncRNA from 1 species